AUGGAUGACAACCUUUGCCCCAUAAUUAGCUGGAAUGUGCGAGGGCUCAAUAUGCCGGCCAAACGGGACGCUGUCUGCGAAGCAGUAGCUGUGCAUCGACCAGCGAUCCUCUGUCUUCAGGAAACAAAGAUCGACGACUGGUCCCCAGCCCUAGUGAGGGAUAUAGGUGGUAGCACAUUAGCCGACUGUGUAGUGUUACCUGCGAUCGGAUCCAGCGGCGGGGUUGCCAUUUUGUGGGACAGCCAGAUCGUUUCGAUCGUGUCUCAGGCCGUAGGAGAAUUCGCCAUCACUGCAAAAGUGACCAUCAUCCGAUCGGCCACCGUCUUCUGGUUAACUACAGUCUACGGGCCGGCGGACGACGCUCGGAAGGACGCGUUCCUUCUCGAGCUGGCAAGGUCUGCACCCCCUAGUGAUCCC
rnacentral:rRNA from 1 species